GGAACAGUUGUCAAAAUUUAUCCGAAAAUACAAGCAUCACAGAUAAUCAUGGAAAGAAACAAAGAAAUUCACAAACAUAUAAAUAUAUGUAUACUCAUACAAAUUUAUCAUGUUGGAAGACUGUGUUUUAAGGUUCUUGUUUGUUCCAUAUAUUUUUUUAAUGAUUAAUUUAACGGAUAUUCAAAGUAGUAUCUUUAAGUACUAUUAAGCUUGAAUAUAGGGGGAUACUUAUUGUUGGGUUAAAUUAUGUUACUUUUCUAAUUG
rnacentral:misc_RNA from 1 species